AUACUCAGCUCCCCAACCCUGAAAAGCAAAAACAGAGCCCAUGAGAGAGAGCCAUUAGAGAGCAGGAGGACACAGAGCCCAGGCACCUGGGCAUCUCCUGAAACCUGAGCCGGUGACAGCACGGACUCCACCUUCCUGUGUCAGAACCAAAACACAAGUGAUAUCGUGAUAAAGAAGAACUAAAUCCUCGGGAAAGGAAGCCAUCCAAAAUGUACCUGGAAGGGUAGUGCCUCUUGCUAAAGAUCUCACCAACCAACCCUUACCUCAGGACAAUCCUUCCAUAAAAUAGAAGAAUUUCUAGAAUCAUACACAAUUUGAAACAUGUAAGAAAAUAAAAAUUCCUAAAAAGUCGAAAA